rnacentral:rRNA from 1 species
AGAGUUUGAUCAUGGCUCAGGACGAACGCUGGCGGCAUGCCUAAUACAUGCAAGUCGAACGCUGAAGCACUCUGCUUGCAGAGUGCGGAUGAGUGGCGAACGGGUGAGUAACACGUGGGAAAUCUGCCUAGGAGUGGGGGAUAACAUUCGGAAACGGAUGCUAAUACCGCAUAUCUUUUUGAACCGCAUGGUUCUUAAACGAAAGACGGCUUCGGCUGUCGCUCUUAGAUGAUCCCGCGGCGUAUUAGUUAGUUGGUGGGGUAAAGGCCUACCAAGACCAUGAUACGUAGCCGACCUGAGAGGGUGAUCGGCCACACUGGGACUGAGACACGGCCCAGACUCCUACGGGAGGCAGCAGUAGGGAAUCUUCCACAAUGGGUGAAAACCUGAUGGAGCAAUGCCGCGUGAAUGAAGAAGGUCUUCGGAUCGUAAAGUUCUGUUAUUAGAGAAGAACAAGUCAAGGAGUAACUGUCUUGACUUUGACGGUACCUAACCAGAAAGUCACGGCUAACUACGUGCCAGCAGCCGCGGUAAUACGUAGGUGACAAGCGUUGUCCGGAAUUAUUGGGCGUAAAGGGAGCGCAGGCGGUUGGAAUAGUCUGAUGUGAAAGCCCACGGCUUAACCGUGGAAGGUCAUUGGAAACUGUCCAACUUGAAUACAGAAGAGGUAAGUGGAAUUCCAAGUGUAGCGGUGAAAUGCGUAGAUAUUUGGAGGAACACCAGUGGCGAAGGCGACUUACUGGUCUGUAAUUGACGCUGAGGCUCGAAAGCGUGGGUAGCAAACAGGAUUAGAUACCCUGGUAGUCC